rnacentral:rRNA from 1 species
GAUGAACGCUGGCGGCGUGCCUAAUACAUGCAAGUCGAGCGAACAGAUCAGGAGCUUGCUCCUUUGACGUUAGCGGCGGACGGGUGAGUAACACGUGGGUAACCUACCUAUCAGACUGGGAUAACUUCGGGAAACCGGAGCUAAUACCGGAUAACAUUUGGAACCGCAUGGUUCUAAAGUGAAAGAUGGUUUUGCUAUCACUUAUAGAUGGACCCGCGCCGUAUUAGCUAGUUGGUAAGGUAACGGCUUACCAAGGCAACGAUACGUAGCCGACCUGAGAGGGUGAUCGGCCACACGGGAACGGAGACACGGUCCAGACUCCUACGGGAGGCAGCAGUAGGGAAUCUUCCGCAAUGGGCGAAAGCCUGACGGAGCAACGCCGCGUGAGUGAUGAAGGGUUUCGGCUCGUAAAACUCUGUUAUUAGGGAAGAACAAACGUGUAAGUAACUGUGCACGUCUUGACGGUACCUAAUCAGAAAGCCACGGCUAACUACGUG